GUACUCAUCUCAGCAGCGCACAUACUAAAACUGGAACAACACAGAGGUCAGCAUAGACCCGUGCACAGAUGACACACAAAUUCAUGAAGUGUUCCACAUAUGU
ensembl:snRNA U6 U6 spliceosomal RNA